GUGGCUAAUGUAAAAGGAUCAUUAAAUUCUUGUGACUGAUUUUUGUCGCCUACAGCAAAAAGACAUAUCUUAUUUAAAAUACAAAAAUAAAUAAAAUGAAAACUAAUGGCUUAUAAUCUGCUUUCAGGACCUACGCAAGCAAGCGUCAGCAGGGUCUUCGAGGGUAUUUGCACCGUGCUGAGUGAUAAGUCGGUGCAGGAAAUCAAGAUGCCUCCAAAACACCUUGAUCAAAGGAGAACUGUUCUUCAAGAUCAAAAAAUUUCCCAAGGGUUAUUAAGGCCAUUAAUGGCACCCACAUUGCCAUCAAGGCCCCAGGUGUGGACGAGGUCCUCUACUUUAACCGAAAAAGGUAUCCCUGAACAUCUAACUUGUUUGUGAUGCGAAUGGAGUGAUCCUCAGCUCCUGCUCCAGAUUCCCAGGUGCUACACAUGAUGCUUUUGUGUGGAGCAACUGCAAUGUGAAGCAGCGAUUUGAGAAGGGGAUUUCCUUCUCGUUGGCGAUAGUGGGUAUCCCCUCGUGCCCCAUCUCAUGGUGCCCUUGAGCAAUCCCACCACUGAUGCAGAACAUAGAUAUAACAGAGGCCAUGCACAAACUAGGGUCAUUGUGGAGCAGACCAUCUGGAUGCUGAAGAGUCGUUUCAGCUGUCUCCACUCUUCUGGAGGUAGCUUGCGGUACAGGCCCAUCAAGUGUUCAAAAAUGAUCAAAGCAUUCCUGCUCCUCCUCAAUCGCUGCGUCGAACGGGGUAUUCCACUUCCUGCUACCACCUCUUAAAGAUGAAGAGGUACCCUAUGCUGACGCUAACCCUGCUGUGCUGCGGAGGGGUCAACGUGCUCCAGGCAGAAUUGUGCAGCAGGAACUCAUACAAAACUUCUUCCAGCAGUGAAAUUGCUGAUAUGAGGUAGUAAUCUGCUGCAAAGCCUGCACCCCCUAUCUUAGAGCUUCCCCUUGUUAUUGCUGCACCAUAAGCAGAGCAUCCAGACUGCGGUGCAUGUCCCGCUGUGUUUCCAUGACUUGAGGGAGGAGCUCCAAUUCUGAGCGACGACCUGCAAUAGAUCUAGGGAAACAUGAUUUUUU